AUUGAACGCUGGCGGCAUGCCUUACACAUGCAAGUCGAACGCGAAAGGGGGGCAACUCCUGAGUAGAGUGGCGAACGGGUGAGUAAUACAUCGGAACAUAUCCAGUAGCGGGGGAUAACCUCGAGAAAUCGAGGCUAAUACCGCAUACGUCCUACGGGAGAAAGCAGGGGACCGCAAGGCCUUGCACUAUUGGAGUGGCCGAUGUCGGAUUAGCUAGUUGGCGGGGUAAAAGCCCACCAAGGCGACGAUCCGUAGCUGGUCUGAGAGGAUGAUCAGCCACACUGGGACUGAGACACGGCCCAGACUCCUACGGGAGGCAGCAGUGGGGAAUUUUGGACAAUGGGCGCAAGCCUGAUCCAGCCAUGCCGCGUGAGUGAAGAAGGCCUUCGGGUUGUAAAGCUCUUUCGGCCGGGACGAAAUCGCAUGGGUGAAUAUCCCGUGUGGAUGACGGUACCGGAAUAAGAAGCACCGGCUAACUACGUGCCAGCAGCCGCGGUAAUACGUAGGGUGCGAGCGUUAAUCGGAAUUACUGGGCGUAAAGCGUGCGCAGGCGGUUUCGUAAGCCAGAUGUGAAAUCCCCGGGCUUAACCUGGGAACUGCAUUUGGGACUGCGAGGCUAGAGUACGGCAGAGGGAGGUGGAAUUCCACGUGUAGCAGUGAAAUGCGUAGAUAUGUGGAGGAACACCGAUGGCGAAGGCAGCCUCCUGGGCUAGUAC
rnacentral:rRNA from 1 species